rnacentral:rRNA from 1 species
UAACAAGGAUUCCCCUAGUAACGGCGAGUGAAGCGGGAUGAGCUCAAAUUUAAAAUCUGGCCGGUUUACUGGUCCGAAUUGUAGUUUAAAGAAGCGUUUUCGGUGGCAGCCUGGGUAUAAAUCCUUUGGAAUAGGGUAUCAUAGAGGGUGAGAAUCCCGUCUUUGACUCAGUGCAUGCUACUAUGUGAUACGUUUUCAAAGAGUCGAGUUGUUUGGGAAUGCAGCUCAAAAUGGGUGGUAAAUCUCAUCUAAGGCUAAAUAUUGGCGAGAGACCGAUAGCGAACAAGUACCGUGAGGGAAAGAUGAAAAGAACUUUGAAAAGAGAGUUAAACAGUGCGUGAAAUUGUUGAAAGGGAAACGUUUGACACCAGUCAUGCGGGCGGAAAAUCAGUCUUUUGUAGUGAGGAAGCGCGUGGGUUCAGACCGCAAGGCUGGCCUAUGUGUUCUCCCUGCUGCAAGUGAUGCACUUUUUCGUCUGCAGGCCAACAUCAGUUUCUUCUGCUGGACAAAACUCCAAGAGAAGGUAGCAGCUUAGGCUGUGUUAUAGCUCUGGAGCGAUACAGUGGAGGAGACUGAGGUUUUCGCAGCGUGUGCUCUCGGGCAAGGCGGAUUGGGUGCUAUGAGAUCGUUCGGCGUACAAUGCAUGCAUUUUGCGCCGUGUCCUUUUUAUACUCGCUCAACUCUGCUCUUCCACGCUUAGGAUGUUGGCAUAA